GCUCAGAAUCAACGCGGGCGGCGUGCCUAACACAUGCAAGUCGAACGAGAAAGUGGGGGCAACCCCAUGAGUAAAGUGGCAGACGGGUGAGUAACACGUGAACAACCUACCCUCGAGUGUGGGAUAACACCGCGAAAGCGGUGCUAAUACCGCAUAAUAUCUUCGGGUCGCAUGAUUUGAAGAUCAAAAGCGCAAGUUGCUUGAGGAGGGGUUCGCGCCUGAUUAGCUAGUUGGUGAGGUAACGGCCCACCAAGGCUUCGAUCAGUAGCCGGCCUGAGAGGGCGAACGGCCACACUGGAACUGAGACACGGUCCAGACUCCUACGGGAGGCAGCAGUGGGGAAUUUUGCGCAAUGGGCGAAAGCCUGACGCAGCAACGCCGCGUGGAGGAUGAAGGCCUUCGGGUCGUAAACUCCUGUCAGUAGGGACGAAUGCCUCGCAAGAGGUUUGACUGUACCUGCUGAGGAAGCCACGGCUAACUCCGUGCCAGCAGCCGCGGUAAUACGGAGGUGGCAAGCGUUGUUCGGAAUUACUGGGCGUAAAGGGCGCGUAGGCGGUAUUGCAAGUCAGAUGUGAAAGCCCCGAGCUUAACUCGGGAAUUGCAUCUGAAACUGCUUUGCUUGAGUCCUGGAGGGGGUAGUGGAAUUCCCAGUGUAGCGGUGAAAUGCGUAGAUAUUGGGAGGAACACCUGCGGCGAAGGCGGCUACCUGGACAGUGACUGACGCUGAGGCGCGAAAGCUAGGGGAGCGAACGGGAUUAGAUACCCCGGUAGUCCUAGCUGUAAACGAUGGGCACUUGGUGUUGGGGGUAUUGAGUCCCUCGGUGCCGGAGUUAACACGUUAAGUGCCCCGCCUGGG
rnacentral:rRNA from 1 species